ACGGGGACCCGCGACAAGCGGUGGAUGAUGUGGUUUAAUUCGAUGCAACGCGAAAACCUUACCACCUUUGACAUGUACGGAAUCCUUUAGAGAUAGAGGAGUGCUCGAAAGAGAGCCGUAACACAGGUGCUGCAUGGCUGUCGUCAGCUCGUGUCGUGAGAUGUUGGGUUAAGUCCCGCAACGAGCGCAACCCUUAUCAUUAGUUGCUACACAAGGGCACUCUAAUGAGACUGCCGGUGACAAACCGGAGGAAGGUGGGGAUGACGUCAAGUCCUCAUGGCCCUUAUGGGUAGGGCUUCACACGUCAUACAAUGGUCGGUACAGAGGGUUGCCAAGCCGCGAGGCGGAGCCAAUCCCACAAAGCCGAUCGUAGUCCGGAUUGUUCUCUGCAACUCGAGAGCAUGAAGUCGGAAUCGCUAGUAAUCGCAGGUCAGCAUACUGCGGUGAAUACGUUCCCGGGUCUU
rnacentral:rRNA from 1 species